rnacentral:lncRNA from 1 species
CCUGGUUUCAGAUUUCAAAUCCUAAGUCCGAUGAUUUGUAUUUUAAUAAUUUAGUCAGUUACCUCGCUGAUCAAACAUAUGCAGUUAUAUAUUAUCAUUUUCAAGUCCCAAGUCCGAUGAUUUGUAUUUUUAAUAAUUUAGUCAGUUACCUCGCAGAUCAAACAUAUGCAGUUAUAUAUUAUCAACUGUCUUAAUUUACUGCAUCUAACAUGUCUAACGCGCUUUUCUACACUUCAUGUCUCUCUAAUGAUGAGUCCGUCAUAUUCGAAAAAUUUAAGAAUAUUCCAACAUGGAUCAGAUCAAUAUGAACCCUGAAAAAG